AGAACGAACGCUGGCGGCAUGCCUAAUACAUGCAAGUCGAACGAACUCUUCGGAGUUAGUGGCGCACGGGUGCGUAACGCGUGGGAAUCUGCCCUUGGGUUCGGAAUAACAGUUGGAAACGACUGCUAAUACCGGAUGAUGACGAAAGUCCAAAGAUUUAUCGCCCAGGGAUGAGCCCGCGUCUGAUUAGCUAGUUGGUGAGGUAAAGGCUCACCAAGGCUACGAUCAGUAGCUGGUCUGAGAGGAUGACCAGCCACAUUGGGACUGAGACACGGCCCAAACUCCUACGGGAGGCAGCAGUGGGGAAUCUUGCGCAAUGGGCGAAAGCCUGACGCAGCCAUGCCGCGUGAAUGAUGAAGGUCUUAGGAUUGUAAAAUUCUUUCAGUAGGACGAUAAUGACGGUACCUACAGAAGAAGCCCCGGCUAACUUCGUGCCAGCAGCCGC
rnacentral:rRNA from 1 species